CGGUGUUCAACUGGCGUGUCCGCGGGACGUCCUGCCGGUGGGCUCAGCCCGCAAGGGCGGCCCAACUUCAAAUCCCAUCGCGGUGCUCUUCACUGAGUGUCGAGGUGGGCCGGCACGUUUACUUUGAACAAAUUAGAGUGCUUAAAGCAGGCUAAAACUUCGCCUGAAUACUGUGUGCAUGGAAUAAUGGAAUAGGACCUCGGUUCUAUUUUGUUGGUUUUCGGAACCCCGAGGUAAUGAUUAAUAGGAACGGAUGGGGGCAUUCGUAUUGCGACGUUAGAGGUGAAAUUCUUGGAUCGUCGCAAGACGGACAGAAGCGAAAGCAUUUGCCAAAAACGCUUUCAUUGAUCAAGAACGAAAGUUAGAGGUUCGAAGGCGAUCAGAUACCGCCCUAGUUCUAACCAUAAACGAUGCCAGCUAGCGAUCCGUCGACGUUCCUCCGAUGACUCGACGGGCAGCUUCCGGGAAACCGCUUUUGGGUUCCGGGGGAAGUAUGGUUGCAAAGCUGAAACUUAAAGGAAUUGACGGAAGGGCACCACCAGGAGUGGAGCCUGCGGCUUAAUUUGACUCAACACGGGAAACCUCACCAGGCCCGGACACCGGAAGGAUUGACAGAUUGAGAGCUCUUUCUUGAUUCGGUGGGUGGUGGUGCAUGGGCCGUUCUUAGUUGGUGGAGCGAUUUGUCUGGUUAAUUCCGAUAACGAACGAGACUCUAGCCUGCUAACUAGGCGUAUUUUCGACAUCUCAAAGGUCCGUCGUCCCGGCCCUCGGGUCGUGGGCGUGCGCGAUUUUUACUGUCGGCGUACUAUCAAUUCUUCUUAGAGGGACAGGUGGCUUCUAGCCGCACGAGAUUGAGCAAUAACAGGUCUGUGAUG
rnacentral:rRNA from 1 species